GCUCUUCUGCAGAAAGUGAUCCCAGGAUAGGGGGCUGCCAUGGGAGUCAGGGAUUUGCACCCCAAAUUUCAGGUGGUAUCUGAGCUCUGUGUGUCCUUCCUACCCACCUCUCAGACAAGGUCUCCAAGCACAGAAGCUGAGCUAUUCCGGGUGGCCUGGAAGGAAGUAUCAGAACCAGGUGCUACUUACAUCUGAUAAACUCAAGUGGUGGACAGAACAGAGAGGGCCUCCUCCAAGGUGACUUGCUAAGUCCUCCCCUAACGACGAAAUAGAGAAGCUUCCUGCCCCUGUUACACAUGGCCUCCUCCCGGGCCCAGCAGCUCACCUGGACCACGGAAAGCACAGAAAGAACUGGCUGAAUGAAUCAAGAGAUCAAGUGUUCUCCCUGAGGCCCUGUAACAGCUCUGCAGCUGACUGCCCAGAAGGAAGCAGAAGUGAGUGACAAGUUGGGGGAACCAGAGCUUGCACACCAUAGGCCUGAACACUAGCCUCUGGGGAAAGGCAAGUCCAGCUGACCUUGGUGAAGUUAGGACCCGGGCCGAGGCCACCUCUUCUGGUUCACCCUCUGCUGGCCUCCCAGCUUCUUUGGCUCAGCAACACCCAGGAUUCCAGGCAUGUUUGCCUCUGGCCUUCUAAAAAUACCCAGGCCACCCAGCACCUCCCAGAUGUCUGAGCGCUGAGUCUGUGAUUUCCCUGCCGGUAAUGGGACAGCCCCGGGGUGGGCAGGCGGGGGUGGCUCGAGCAGCUCAAGCCACUUCCUCUGCCUCCCAUCCCCUAGCCUACCAGAAGCUGGACCCAGCCCUGCCUCCCAAUCCUUGCAAGGCAAAGGAGGGUAGAGGCUAGCAGACCUCAGAGAUUGUUGACUCCAGUCUCUUCUUGGGACAGAUGGGAGAUCUGAAGUCUAAGGAUUGCUCAUGGCACUUGUGCCAUUAAGGUCCUCCUCACCCCACUCCCCAGCACUGUGUUCAUGCCUGCUGCUGUCUCACUUCCCACAUGCUACUUGGAGUCUAGGUCUUGGAGCCCAACCUGACUUCCUCCAUGCAGCUGAAAGCUCCUGACAGCAGUGAAGGGGAGGAUCCCUGUGGUCUCCAUGGUGCCUGGAAGAGUGUCCAAUCCAGAGCACACCAUCAGUAAACGUAGAUUGGAUUGAACAAUGUAGUGGCAGCUGGGGCAAUGGGUGGAGCACUGGGCUGGAGGACAAAGCCUCUGAAUUCUAUCUAGCCCAGGGUCAGCCACUGUGAUACUAUGCAUCCUCAUCAAUUGCCCUGGACAAACCUGUUUCUCCUGGGCUGGAUAGGAUGGUGUCUAAGGACUGAGCCAGCUCUGCUGAUAUGAAGCUGCAAGCUGAUGCCCUGCUGGAUAUUCCUGUCCCUUCUCUGCUCUACUGUAUGUCUGGGAGAGAUGGCACAACCUGUAGGUUCCAUCAGCUCCAGGUUCUCAGCUUCUGCUCCUCCCUCCGUGCUUCUGAACAUUCCACCUCUGGUCCUAGCCCCUGAGGCCCAGCUCUUCCAAUAGUGCCACUUCCACCUCUGCUGCUGGGUACACAGGGGUGAAUGCAUACCUACCUCGCUCACUAAUCAUGUGACCUUGGGUAAGGCAUUGCCCUUUUCUGGGCUUCAGUUUUAUCAUAUCUAAAAGGGAAUAAUAAGGCCUACCUUAAAGGAGUGCUAUGAGGAUGUAGGAGAUUCCAUAGCUCAGAUGUCAGGUUAUAUAUCACCUCCUGCAGAAAGUCUCCCCUGUCCUCCCAAGGAUGGCUCAGAUAGCAUUUGUUGCUGGCUCUUCAGUUCUGACCUUCCCAUGUUCACACUAUGUGGUCAUUGGCUCUCUAUGCAUCCAUCCCCCACCAAGCUGUGGGCUCCUCAAGGCCAGGAGUCUCCAGGACCCAGUACAGGACCUUUACAGAUGAAGUGCCUGGGAACGUUUUUUGACAGACACAGUGGGUGAGUAAAGCCUGAGAGAAAGGCAAGGGGUUGUGCAGAAGUCUGGGAGUCUGAGUAAGAAGUGGCCUGACUGACAGGGCAAGUUCUGGUGGUAUGAAUAUUGACAGCUGCUUGGAGCCCUUCCCCCAUUUCCCUGCUUGGUAAAUUCAUCCUUCAAGAUCCCAGGAGAGCAUCUCCUUCCCUGAGAAACCUGAUCACUCUCCCCUCUACCACAUUACACACUCCACUGUAGGUGUUCUUUACACACCUGUCUCCCUUCUCAGAUGUGAGUUCCCUGAAGGCAAGACCCUGUUGGAUCUCACAGCACCAAGCACUAGAUCUGGCAUGAGUUAGUCAAGGUUUUGGAGCAGAAGAAUGGAUGGAGGAAAUAAUUUCUGAAUCGAACUUGGAAUUGAACUGCCUGAACUUUAAUGCCCUUUCCAGCCUUAGGGAUGAUAAUGAAUUACCAAAGUGAGAAAAAUGGAGGCGCAAGCUGUUGUCAUCCUUCCAGAGGCACCCUCCAAGUGUGUGUGGGUGAAAUGUGAGCUGGAGAGAGGAUUGACAAAGAGCAGUGAAAACAUAUUCCUGGACCCCAUUCUUUUUUUUUUUUUUUUUUUUUUUGAGA